rnacentral:rRNA from 1 species
AAAUUGAAGAGUUUGAUCAUGGCUCAGAUUGAACGCUGGCGGCAGGCCUAACACAUGCAAGUCGAACGGUAACAGGAAGCAGCUUGCUGCUUUGCUGACGAGUGGCGGACGGGUGAGUAAUGUCUGGGAAACUGCCCGAUGGAGGGGGAUAACUACUGGAAACGGUAGCUAAUACCGCAUAACGUCGCAAGACCAAAGAGGGGGACCUUCGGGCCUCUUGCCAUCGGAUGUGCCCAGAUGGGAUUAGCUAGUAGGUGGGGUAACGGCUCACCUAGGCGACGAUCCCUAGCUGGUCUGAGAGGAUGACCAGCCACACUGGAACUGAGACACGGUCCAGACUCCUACGGGAGGCAGCAGUGGGGAAUAUUGCACAAUGGGCGCAAGCCUGAUGCAGCCAUGCCGCGUGUAUGAAGAAGGCCUUCGGGUUGUAAAGUACUUUCAGCGGGGAGGAAGGGAGUAAAGUUAAUACCUUUGCUCAUUGACGUUACCCGCAGAAGAAGCACCGGCUAACUCCGUGCCAGCAGCCGCGGUAAUACGGAGGGUGCAAGCGUUAAUCGGAAUUACUGGGCGUAAAGCGCACGCAGGCGGUUUGUUAAGUCAGAUGUGAAAUCCCCCCGGGCUCAACCUGGGAACUGCAUCUGAUACUGGCAAGCUUGAGUCUCGUAGAGGGGGGUAGAAUUCCAGGUGUAGCGGUGAAAUGCGUAGAGAUCUGGAGGAAUACCGGUGGCGAAGGCGGCCCCCUGGACGAAGACUGACGCUCAGGUGCGAAAGCGUGGGGAGCAAACAGGAUUAGAUACCCUGGUAGUCCACGCCGUAAACGAUGUCGACUUGGAGGUUGUGCCCUUGAGGCGUGGCUUCCGGAGCUAACGCGUUAAGUCGACCGCCUGGGGAGUACGGCCGCAAGGUUAAAACUCAAAUGAAUUGACGGGGGCCCGCACAAGCGGUGGAGCAUGUGGUUUAAUUCGAUGCAACGCGAAGAACCUUACCUGGUCUUGACAUCCACGGAAGUUUUCAGAGAUGAGAAUGUGCCUUCGGGAACCGUGAGACAGGUGCUGCAUGGCUGUCGUCAGCUCGUGUUGUGAAAUGUUGGGUUAAGUCCCGCAACGAGCGCAACCCUUAUCCUUUGUUGCCAGCGGUCCGGCCGGGAACUCAAAGGAGACUGCCAGUGAUAAACUGGAGGAAGGUGGGGAUGACGUCAAGUCAUCAUGGCCCUUACGACCAGGGCUACACACGUGCUACAAUGGCGCAUACAAAGAGAAGCGACCUCGCGAGAGCAAGCGGACCUCAUAAAGUGCGUCGUAGUCCGGAUUGGAGUCUGCAACUCGACUCCAUGAAGUCGGAAUCGCUAGUAAUCGUGGAUCAGAAUGCCACGGUGAAUACGUUCCCGGGCCUUGUACACACCGCCCGUCACACCAUGGGAGUGGGUUGCAAAAGAAGUAGGUAGCUUAACCUUCGGGAGGGCGCUUACCACUUUGUGAUUCAUGACUGGGGUGAAGUCGUAACAAGGUAACCGUAGGGGAACCUGCGGUUGGAUCACCUCCUUA